CCAGUGGUCCUCGGAGAAAAACCGGAUAAGUCCACGGAUUAACUUUGAGAAACUUUCUCAAUCCCCUGGAAGAUUGAUGAGAAAAGGGUGAGUUUUAACUAAGUUCUCUUAACUCGUUGGUGUUCGUGUGCUUCUUGGUGUGGCUCAGGUAGAGCGCUGCGAUGAAUGCCAUGAAGAGAACCGGAGCAGUGUAGAUGAGCGUGUAAACUCCUGGAAAAAGGGUAACAUAAAAUUCUCGGUGUUGAUCUAAGAAGGGAAAGAUCUUACCAGUUUGUCCGUAGGAUUUGAGAGAAACACGCUCGGCAAUCGGCCCCGAGAAAUGGGUGAAGAACGCUGAUGUUGGAGACAUGAUCCACACGAGAAUCC
rnacentral:lncRNA from 1 species